AAUCAACGCUGGCGGCGUGCCUAACACAUGCAAGUCGAACGCGAAAGCGUCUUCGGACGUGAGUAGAGUGGCGUCCGGGUGAGUAACACGUAGGUAAUCUACCUUCGGGUGGGGAAUAACGCCUCGAAAGAGGCGCUAAUACCGCAUAACGCAGCGGCAGCUAAUGCUGAUUAGUUGUUAAAGCGGGGGACCGAGAGAUCGGCCUCGCGCCUGAAGAGGAGCCUGCGG
rnacentral:rRNA from 1 species